GCUACAGUAAUUUAUUGUAAAAUAUUAGCCUGUGGAGCUAAAAACGGAACCGCCUUCUCUUCCCCGUAGCU
rnacentral:tRNA from 1 species